rnacentral:rRNA from 1 species
AGCAGCCGCGGUAAUUCCAGCUCCAAUAGCGUAUAUUAAAGUUGUUGCAGUUAAAAAGCUCGUAGUUGAAUUUUAGGCCUGACCGGACGGUCCGUCUUUGGCGAGUACUGUUCUGUUGUCGGGUCUAUCCUUCUGGUGAGCCGGUAUGUCCUUUAUUGGGUGUGUCGGGGAACCAGGACCAUUACCUUGAAAAAUUAGAGUGUUUAAAGCGGGCUUUUGCUUGAAUAGAUUAGCAUGGAAUAAUAGAAUAGGACGUUGGUUCUAUUUUGUUGGUCUAGGACCACCGUAAUGAUUAAUAGGGAUAGUUGGGGGCAUUAGUAUUCAAUUGUCAGAGGUGAAAUUCUUGGAUUUAUUGAAGACUAACUACUGCGAAAGCAUUUGCCAAGGAUGUUUUCAUUAAUCAAGAACGAAAGUUAGGGGAUCGAAGACGAUCAGAUACCGUCGUAGUCU